rnacentral:rRNA from 1 species
GAUGAACGCUGGCGGCGUGCCUAAUACAUGCAAGUCGAGCGAACAGACGAGGAGCUUGCUCCUCUGACGUUAGCGGCGGACGGGUGAGUAACACGUGGAUAACCUACCUAUAAGACUGGGAUAACUUCGGGAAACCGGAGCUAAUACCGGAUAAUAUAUUGAACCGCAUGGUUCAAUAGUGAAAGACGGUUUUGCUGUCACUUAUAGAUGGAUCCGCGCCGCAUUAGCUAGUUGGUAAGGUAACGGCUUACCAAGGCAACGAUGCGUAGCCGACCUGAGAGGGUGAGCGGCCACACUGGAACUGAGACACGGUCCAGACUCCUACGGGAGGCAGCAGUAGGGAAUCUUCCGCAAUGGGCGAAAGCCUGACGGAGCAACGCCGCGUGAGUGAUGAAGGUCUUCGGAUCGUAAAACUCUGUUAUUAGGGAAGAACAAAUGUGCAAGUAACUAUGCACGUCUUGACGGUACCUAAUCAGAAAGCCACGGCUAACUACGUG